CAGCAGACACAUUCCAGCCAAUCAGCAGCAGACCCUCCCUCCCAGACCGUCCUGGACAGCAUCCAUUUUGAAGCUGCAUUCUUAGUGAGCUGUCCAGGAGGUGGCAGGGACUGGGAGGGAGGGUCUGCUGCUGAUUGGCUGGAAUGUGUCUGCUG
rnacentral:miRNA from 1 species